UACGUAGGGGGCAAGCGUUGUCCGGAUUUAUUGGGCGUAAAGAGCGUGUAGGCGGCUUGACAGGUCUGCUGUGAAAACUCGAGGCUCAACCUCGAGAUGUCGGCGGAAACCGUCUGGCUAGAGUCCGGAAGAGGAGAGUGGAAUUCCUGGUGUAGCGGUGAAAUGCGCAGAUAUCAGGAAGAACACCCGUGGCGAAGGCGGCUCUCUGGUACGUGACUGACGCUGAGACGCGAAAGCGUGGGGAGCGAACAGG
rnacentral:rRNA from 1 species